rfam:Tupaia chinensis contig196997, whole genome shotgun sequence.
GUGCUCACUUCGGCGGCACAUAUAUUAAAAUUGGAGCGAUACAGAGAAGAUUAGCAUGGCCUCUGUGCAAGGUUGACAUGCAAAUUCGUGAAACGUUCCAUGUUUUU